CAAUAUCUGUGAAAAUAUUUAUAAUGAAUUCUUUAUUUUAGGUCUUUACUAAAUGAGAAAAGCUGUCUGCAUAUUAUUCAAAUGUCAAGAAAUGGCGUGAUGCUGAUGUAACUGCAGUAUUGAAAGAUGGCUUUCGCUUCAAAUAUAUAUUAGCUGGGUACAGAGAACUAGUUAAAGAUGCAACAUUUUUGAAGAAACUGAAAAAAAAGAAAUGUGACGAUUUUUAGGAAUCUGGAGUUGUUAUUUAUUGACAUAAGUCAGUUUUGAUUAACCAUAAUGAAAAAAGACUGUUCUAUUUUGUUUUUAUAGAGGAUAAUUUAUUUAUAUAUUAAAAAUGUUUAAACUUAACUU